rnacentral:rRNA from 1 species
UACAGAGGGUGCAAGCGUUGUUCGGAAUUAUUGGGCGUAAAGCGCGUGUAGGCGGCUUUGCAAGUCGGGUGUGAAAGCCCUCAGCUCAACUGAGGAAGUGCGCCCGAAACUGCAGAGCUUGAGUGCCGGAGAGGGUGGCGGAAUUCCCCAAGUAGAGGUGAAAUUCGUAGAUAUUCGGAGGAACACCAGUGGCGAAGGCGACCACCUGGACAAAGACUGACGCUGAGGUGCGAAAGCGUGGGGAGCAAACAGG